rnacentral:tRNA from 1 species
GGCGAGAUAGCCAAGCGGUCUAAGGCGCUAGACUAAGGCUUAAUACCCUGAAAUCUAGUUCUUCGGAGCGCGGGUUCGAAUCCCGCUCUCGUCA